ACUUAUUAUCUGUGUAAUGUAUCAGUCUUAUAAAUGUAUCAGUCUUAUAAAAGAUCCCUCACUUGUAUGGAGCCGUGUCUCUGUCCUUCAUACAGCUUAACCAAAGUACCGCCCACCGCGGAACCAAAAUCUAAUUAAUUUUACAUUAUCAGCUGCGUAGCUAAGAAGCAGUAGCAGUUUUCUGCAGGCAACUUUGUUGCAAACUAGUCUAGAAUAGCUACUCUGCCAGGAUCUCUAAGUUUCAAACGGAGGAGUAUACCCCCAGCGAAGGAUCAUUUCACAAGUAAGCUCUGUGUGUGUACAGCGAUCAUCAUUUUCCUAGUUCAGCGCCUUUUGAGCUGAUUUAAUAUGCUUGUCCACCUACCUAGAUAGCUGUGUGAAAUAUACUGGAGAGUAGCUUCGUGAGUUUAGAGCCUGUUUUUAGAGUGUAGUCUACAACGCAAAUUAUUUUCUCUUUUUCAGCAUUCACAUCUACCAAAGAAAGAUGCAUAACUUGGAAACAGUGACAGUUUUCUUUAUUCAACUUCUUAGCAAAGUAGUCUACAGUAUCAGGAUCUCCUGGUUUCCAACGAAACAGUCAACCAGCCAAGGGCCAGAGCAAGGGAUCUAUAGCAAGCAUUAUGUAGCUAGUAUAAGCUAGUAUAAGCCUUCAUAAGCCUCUGAGCUUAUGAGUAUACUUGUGUAGAAGCUGAGUUAGUUUAGAGCCUGUUUUUAGAGUGUAGUGUUUUUAGGGUGUAGUGUACAGUGUUUGAUAUUCAAUUUAUUUGUUUCAGUGUGGCAAAGAAAGAGUAACAGUUCUCUUCAAGCUACCUUGUAGUUCUAUCUGAACAGUCAAAGAGUGUGUGUAUCUUUAUGUGCGCGUGCGUGUCUGUAUAAUUAUGUGUUCCAACGCGAGUGUAUGUGUGUGUGUGUGUGUCUGUAUGUGUGUGUGUAUUUGUGUGCACAUGUGUGUGUAUUCACUAUUGGUGCCCACAUGUGCGUGCGUGUGUGUGUGUGUGUGUGUGUGUGUUUGCGUGCCCGCCUGUGUGUGCCUGUGGCUAGCCUCGAUCCCAGGCCGAGUUUUCGCUUUUAUAACGGUUAGGCGAACAACUGGGCCUGGUACUAGUUGUCUGCGCAUGCGUCAGUCGUUCGUCAGAUUCUGACGAAUGGAUAUUCUCGUUCACUUUCGUGACAUUUAUAUUCGUGUACUAUCGUGUACUAGAAGUCAGUUCCCGUUUUAUCAUUAUUGGAAUCGAUUGGAAUGGCUCUUAGCUGAAGCUUCUCUCUUCUCUGAAGCUUAUUCUGAAGACUGAACAACAAGGGAAGAGGUAUAAAGCUUUGUCAAGCUUGUUAAGGUCAGAUAUUUUUGUGUGGGCCCUAUGGCCGGCUAUGCUAUCAAGUCUUGUUCAUGUUUGGCAAGAAUGUAGGUAGACUAUAGUUUCAUCAUUAAUAUGGUGGAUUAAGUGAAGAGUGUGAGCUAGAGAACUUGGUGCUGCCAUCAUCAGCUCGUCGACAAUGACACUAUAACCGAGAAAUUUAAUAUGUAUAGAUCUACACGUAUUUAAAAUGUCUACUUCUCUGUACAGGAGCAAUGGCUAAUAUCCAGCUAUCCCAACAGUGCUCCUCUUGGCUAUACUAACGGACGAGACUGGACAGUUUGAGUAUGACCUGCUCAUUCGAGCGUUGCUGGGUAGCUCAGAGACAUCAAGAGAAUCUACGUUUUCUCAAGCAAUGAGUUACGAGUUGGGGCCUAGAAUCAGAGAAGUCCAGCAGCCUGCUAAAUCUUUUUGAAACGUAAUUUGAAGGCAUUCAAUCAUCCUGAAGUUGCCCUGGGUCACUGGGUCACUGUAAUUGUGCUGCAGCACAACUGGCAACUCCCCAGGCCUUUGUGAAGCAGCUCCCUAUGUGCAUCUUUUGUGUACUCACUCUGCAUUUUCUGUGUACAAAUUUCCAUUAUUGAUUUAUUAAAUAUUUUUGCCGACCACAAAUAUACAAUGAAAAUUUGACGCAUGCGCAGACAACUAGUACCAGGCCCAGUUGUUCGCCUAACCGUUAUAAAAGCGAAAACUCGGCCUGGGAUCGAGGCUAGCCUGUGGCAUGAUACUUUAUACUGCUAACAAUUUACAGUUAAUUCUUAUGCCUAGGCUUGUGUGAAGUUUCUGCUUGCUUCCAAGGUUACAAUUCAAUUAGGCUACUACUCAAUUACAUUAGGCUCACUCACUGUGUACAUGUACAGUACAUGUACAGAGGUUGAUUGCAUAAAAAUGUUUUGACCUUUUCAGGGGAAAGCAAAGGCUUGUUGGGCUUAUGAGUGUACUGUUUACUUGUGUAAGGACAUUUUCUUCCCAAAUUGUGUUAUGCUAGGAUUAGGUCAUAAUUCAGGGGGAUUCAGUCAAUGGGGGUGCUCAUUGCGCGCCGCAAAAUUUAGACCACGCCCGUUUUGUCGGCAACGCCCACUGUUUUCUAGAUGGUGCACAGCCACAGUACUGACAGUGCCAUCAGCAAGUCAAGAAUGUUUACGACCAGAAGCUCAAUUCGCCUGGGAUGGCACUCUUCUUAAGGCCACUAAAAGAUUGAUCAGCUUACCAGGAGGUGACAGGCAGCGUACAAAGUAUGACCACCAGUACGUACCUUGAUGUUGAGGAAAAGAGACUUUGUAGUUUACAUUGCAAACAUUGAUUAUUAUUAUAAUUUAUUGUACAUACAUGUAGGCUUAAUUAUAUAAUUAUACUAUACAUUCAUGUACCUCAUGUACCUGGAUCCAAGAACCUUGUUGUGCUGCAUGUUGUGAGGCAUGUUUGAUACAGCAAACCACUUCCUGCUACCUAGCCUUAUUAUUGAGCCCCUCCCCACUCUUUAUUGGAUAUCCCAGUAUUAAAGGAUGGAAGAAAAGUAAGUUUUUUAGGCUAGCUAGCUGGAUUUCACUUAUUGUAACUAUCACUAUUAAGCUGUAGAUAGCUGCAGUAAGUGUAGCUUCCUUCUAGCCAGCCAGUGAUGGUUGAACUAUCUACCUGAGCUUCUCUGAGUCUGGAUAGGGUGCUAGAGCACCAGAGCCUGGAUGGGGGUGCUGGAGCACCCUAAGUAUGGAGGGCCAUUUGUGACAAAAAUGGGUACUACAUGUACAUGUUGAUUUCAAAACGCAAGUAGGGAAGACACGUUCAGAGAACGCGUAUAGGGAACGCGAGUAGGGAAGACGCGUAUAGGGAACGCGAGUAGGGAAGACACGUUCAGAGAACGCGUAUAGGGAACGCGAGUAGGGAAGACACGAGAACGCGUAUAGGGAACGCGAGUAGGGAAAACACGUUCAGAGAACACGUCUAUAUAGGAAACACGUGUUGCCUACGCACGUCUAGCUACUUUUGCCUACACGCGUUUUCUAAACACGUAUAGGCUACACGCGUUUUCUAAACACGUAUAGGCUACACGCGUUUUCUAAACACGUAUAGGCUACACGCGUUACGUAUAGGCUACACGCGUUACGUAUAGGCUACACGCGUUUUCUAAACACGUAUAGGCUAUAUAGGCUACACGCGUCUAGAGGUUGUACAUAAACGGAAACCACAAACGGAAACCACACCCCUUUCUUACAGUCCUAUUUCCCAAAGAAAGGGGCGUGGUUUCCACUAAGUAUUUACAGUGGCAUAAUUAAUUAUAGAGGUACAUAGAAAACAUGGCAGAAGCAGAAACUCUCAACAUAUUGACCUAUGUGUUGCCAUUUUAGAAGACAUUUCAUUUUGCAUCAGUUUUAUGUUGCUAAUUUCCAAGAAGAAGAUGUGCUAGAGGGUUUACUGAUAGCUUGUGAGUCGCUAACAACAUACUGUGUAUUGCUGGAAGGGGUUAUUUUGUUAAAUGGUGCCUCAAGGUUGGCACAAGCCGUGAGAAUCGUCAUUGCUCAUUUGUCUGACAUUAUUGAACAGUUGGAAAGUUGGCUUGAGAGGGUGCUGGCUAGAAACCGAGACAGAGAUAGCCGUAGAGGUAGGCCUAAGAUGGUAAUAACUGAAGAUCAGCUUAUACAGCUGUUGAAUAGCCAUUUUUCUGUACAGGAUAUUUCAAAGAUGCUACAGUGCUCACCACGAACUAUUUAUAGACGUAUUCAAGAAUUUGGAUUAGCAAAUUCUCUUCAUUCUAUUGUUAGUGAUAUCGACCUAGAUGUUAUUGUGUCAGAGUUUGUUCAGUGCCAUCCAAUGAGUGGUUACAGAAUUCUUAUUGGCCACUUACGAUCACUUCAUAUUCGGAUACCAAGACAAAGAGCAAGGGACAGCCUUAUUCGUGUGGAUCCCACUGGAGUAGCGAAUAGGCUUCGGAAAACCUUACAUCGGCGCCAAUAUUCAGUGAUAGGCCCGAACAGUCUAUGGCAUGUUGAUGGAUAUCAUAAACUAAUAAACUGGAAGAUUGUUAUCCAUGGAGGAAUCGACAGGUAUUCAAGACUUAUUGUAUACCUAAAAGCUGCCAACAACAACAGAGCCACAACAGUGUUAUCGUCUUUUCUUGAGGGUGUCGAUACAUAUGGAUUGCCAUCAAGGGUGAGAAGUGACAAGGGUGGUGAAAAUGUUGGCAUUUCAGAGUAUAUGCUCAAUCAUCCAUGUAGAGGACCAGGAAGAGGAAGCAUGAUUACUGGCAGAAGCGUCCACAAUCAAAGGAUUGAAACAUUCUGGGGUGCAUAGCAUCUUUCUAUACUUUAUUCUGUGAACUGGAAAAUGCAGGGCUACUCAAUAUUGACAAUGACCUGUUUUCCCUACUGUUUUCCCUACAUUAUUGUGCCAUACCCUUACUGAAUCGGCAGAUGUACGAAUUUAGUAACUCUUGGAAACAUCAUCCUCUUAGCACUGAACGAAACAAGACACCACAUCAAUUAUGGGUUUUAGGAAUGUGUACCACUGCAGAACAGGCUGUUAUACAAAGUUUGAUGGACCCUAUAAACCAAGAAGAAUUGCAGUGGUAUGGUGUAGACUGGACUGGGCCUGCACCUACUUCCCAGUCAGUGGAUCAAGUUACAGUAACAGCGGUCAAUAAUCAUUUACCUCAAUGUUUGUACGAAGUCUUACAAAGAGAAAUUUCUCCAGACACAGUAUACAUAAUUAUGAGCAACAUUGAUCAAAAAUAUGUACUUGUUCGUGCGUUUGUGAAUACAUUCUCUUACAUGUAAAUUAUUUAGUUAUGGAUUGUUAUGGCUUAUGCGGUCAGUCUCCAUUGCAUGCACAGUUAUUAUUAUGUAUAAUUUUUUAUUAGGGAUUUAAUUUGUAUCAUUUCACAAUAAUUAUUAUUAUAUCUACAUAGUCCAUGCCUAUUAUUAGCAAGCAGUACUUUAAUUUGACCCAAGCAU